rnacentral:rRNA from 1 species
UACGGAGGGUGCAAGCGUUAUCCGGAUUUACUGGGCGUAAAGAGCGCGCAGGCGGUCGUGCAAGUCGCGUGUGAAAGCCCCCGGCUCAACUGGGGAGGGUCACGCGAUACUGCUCGACUCGAAGGCAGGAGAGGGAAGUGGAAUUCCCGGUGUAGUGGUGAAAUGCGUAGAUAUCGGGAGGAACACCAGUGGCGAAGGCGGGUCUCUGGACAGUUCCUGACACUGAGGCACGAAGGCCAGGGGAGCAAACGGG